UAGGCAGCUUGGAACCUCCUGUGAACUACCCUAGAUAGUUUGUCUUCUUGUAUGUCAAGCCAAGAUAAUUUGUCUUGUACCGUCUCUGUUGAUUGUGCAGCCAAGUUAACUUGUCUUGUGAUGCUGUAUCAAAUAUAAAAUGUUUGACAUCAGGACUCAGCUGUGAGUCUUGAUCGAAUGUUACAGAAAAAGUUACAUUGUAUUAUCAAAGCAAAUGAUUUACUAUAUAGAUCUUUCCUACAUUUUCGAGCAUUAUGUCUGAUUGUGGGACAGCUUAAAUUUAGCCAUCAUCGAACUGCAGUUCUGGGCUGCCCUCACAAGGAAUUUAGCACUAUAUUAUCAAUAAUACUUUUCAAAUCUAAAUGCAAAAUAAGAUUCAAAUUCAAACACUACCUCUGAAACAUGAUGCACUACAACCUGCAAUUGCUUGUGCCAUUACCAACUUAAGACCACAACUACCGUUGAGCCACAAGGUCAAAUAUGUGUAGUUUCCUGACUGAUGAGCAAAUUGAUGGGGAAGAAACAAAUAUGCUCAUAGAAAGGAUGAUGUCAGACCCAAAGAUUUCAUGUAAUCAUAAAGAAUGCAGGAAUAUGUUGUAAAGAGGUAACACUUGGUUGUAGGUAGGUGUAAUGGGUCCAAGUGUCAGGAUUCUGUGGGCAUUAUGCCAUUGAUCAUAAAAGAUUGUGAGCAAUGGAUAAGAAGAAUUUUAAAUUAUGAAAUGUAAUUUAAUGAAACCAAAAGAAUAAGGUAAGAUAAGGUAAGGCAAGGCCUACCUACAAAUGCAUGUGGUGGCAGUUUGAUUGAUACAGUGGGUUUCCAAGUCAACCUCCUUAUCCUUAUUACACCCUAUCUUACC
rnacentral:lncRNA from 1 species